AUCCAAGGUGAUUCCCUCUCCAGGGGGCCAGUUAGUGCCCCUGUCAGGAAAGUAGCAACUUGGAAUAAAACCUGGCAUGCCUAAGAUCUUGGGGGACAGGGGCUGCUUAUUUCCUUUGCCUUCCUUUGGCUGCCUACAUGU